rnacentral:rRNA from 1 species
GAGGCAAUAACAGGUCUGUGAUGCCCUUAGAUGUUCUGGGCUGCACGCGCGCUACACUGAUGAAGUCAUCGAGUACAUUUCCUUUACCGGAAGGUAUGGGUAAUCUUUUGAAACUUCAUCGUGAUGGGGAUAGAGCAUUGCAAUUAUUGCUCUUCAACGAGGAAUCCCUAGUAAGCAUGAGUCAUCAGCUCGUGCUGAUUAUGUCCCUGCCCUUUGUACACACCGCCCGUCGCUACUACCGAUUGAAUGGCUUAGUGAGACCCUCGGAUCGAUGAGUGGAAACCUUCACGGGUAUCCUUUCGUUAAGAAGUUGGUCAAACUUGGUCAUUUAGAGGAAGUAAAAG